UACGGAGGGUGCGAGCGUUGUCCGGAAUCAUUGGGCGUAAAGGGCGCGUAGGUGGCCUGGUAAGCGUGCGGUGAAAGCCUGGGGCUCAACCCCGGGUCGGCCGUGCGAACUGCUAGGCUUGAGCACUGUAGAGGCAGGCGGAAUUCCUGGUGUAGCGGUGAAAUGCGUAGAUAUUCGCAAGAACACCAGUGGCGAAGGCGGCUCACUGGCCCGAUACUGACGCUGAGGCACGAAAGCGUGGGGAGCGAACAGG
rnacentral:rRNA from 1 species